rnacentral:rRNA from 1 species
UACGGAGGAUGCGAGCGUUAUCCGGAUUUAUUGGGUUUAAAGGGUGCGUAGGCGGCAUUAUAAGUUAGUGGUAAAAUAUUGGGGCUUCACCUCACUACGCCAUUAAUACUGUAGAGCUAGAGAACAGACGAGGUAGGCGGAAUAAGUUAAGUAGCGGUGAAAUGCAUAGAUAUCGCGCAGAACCCCGAUUGCGAAGGCAGCGUGCCGUGCCGCCACUGACGCUGAGGCACGAAAGCGCGGGGAUCGAACAGG